GGCCCGUUCGUCUAGUGGACUAGGACGCUAGGUUUUCAUCCUAGAAACAGGGGUUCGAUGCCCCUACGGGCUG
rnacentral:tRNA from 3 species